rnacentral:rRNA from 1 species
UACGAAGGGGGCUAGCGUUGCUCGGAAUCACUGGGCGUAAAGGGUGCGUAGGCGGGUCUUUAAGUCAGGGGUGAAAUCCUGGAGCUCAACUCCAGAACUGCCUUUGAUACUGAAGAUCUUGAGUUCGGGAGAGGUGAGUGGAACUGCGAGUGUAGAGGUGAAAUGCGUAGAGAUCCGGAGGAACCCCAGAGGCGAAGGCGGCCCCCUGGCUCGUACCUGACGCUCAGCCACGAAAGCAUGGGGAGCGAACGGG